CCAGCAGCAAAAGCAGCUCACUUCAACACCAAAUCUCCUGGGAGCUUUCUUCCACUUCCAUUAAAAUCAUGAACACACAUUGAGAAGUGAGGCUGAAAAAUGUUUGGUUCUUGGUGGAGAGUGACCCUGUUAGUCGUUUUAUCUAAUUUACUGGCGCAUUCAGUUGUGUUAAAGACAAUAUCAAAUGAGAGUAGACAACACAAAGGCUCCAGAAGUCUUUCUCGU